AUAGAUUUAUUGCUUAAUCCUGAGACAUUUUAGGAUAAAAUUUUAAAUUCUUUUUUAUAUAAACAACUUAUAUUCUUAACAACAGUUUGGGGGCAGACCGCAUUCCAAUUAAAUGAUUUGUUGAGGCGGUGGGGUAACGUAACGUAACGUGUUCAUAUUAGUCACCACUGAAUUUUGGAUACAACCAGGAACGCUAUUUGCCGUACUGUCAUCAAUCAGCUGCUGCAAUAAUGACAAUCCACAUUCGCAGUCGCAUUGUAAAUUCAAAUUGCUGUCAAAAUAAAACUAUUUUUCAUUUACGAACAAAAUUAAACAACAAAUUGCUGUUUUUAGGGAUUUGUUUUUAAUAUGUAUAUCGGAUUUCAACUCUUGCAAUCGCCUCCUUCUUGCUCUAGAUGCAGCUGGGUAGUCUAGAAGUAUGGAAAUUCAAGUGUCUUUUAGCUUAGAGAUCCUGUUAAAAUACGCCCAUCAUCCUCCCUUUUUGAUAGCUUCAUAAAUAAGUUGGUUCUUUGGUUGUUGUUUGAACGAAGUGCACGCACUGAUGAUAUUGUGCCUAUAUCUGAUGAUUGCAGCAGAACCAUACAAAGGCUUCUAGCUUGCCCUGUAGCAUUUUCUCCUUCUACCGUCGGCAUUUGAAUCAUAAUAUUUUGUUCAUUAGCUUUAAUCUCCAAGAAUUCAACUUGCCGUUCCAAAGCAUUACAUCGGUUUUCAACUGUCUUCAACUGCACCUUAAGUUCUUGGUUGUUUUCUUGCAGCAAAUGAAGCCUAGCACUUACCUCUAUAUCUGCUUUCUUAGGUAGAUCCUUCAGUUUUUCAUCCAAUAUGGAGACAUAGCUCUUUGAAUGAUAUGUUCAAGAUCUAAAACAGACAUAUUUCCUACAGCUACUCCCUAGUUCGAAGAUGAUGCAUUUUUGUGGCGAUCCUCCGGAGACAGAUCAAUUAGUUUUCAUUUACUUUGUUGUUCCAUAUAGUUGUCAUUGUCUUUUACCGGUGUUCUUUGCAUAUUAAUGGCAGAUUGUUUAAGACUCAUCUAGUGUUCUUUUUUUUUGUGAUGUUUGAAAUUUUAGAUAGCUAUUUUAACACGUUUGCGAUGGUUUCUUUUUAAUUAUUUAUUAUAUUAAUUUAGAAAAAAAAAAACUUUUAAAUUAAGGAGCUCAAAAUAAACACAACUUUCACUUGUAUAGCUAAGGUAAAUAAAAAUAUAAAAACUUUAAACCAGUAUGACCACAAAAAAUCAAAUUGAAAACAAUAGAGGAAAUAUAAUAUCUAGUGUCACGACCGGUACCUGAAACACUCUCAAUUUCGAUUCAAAUUCGUUAUAGUUGAAUACAUAAGAGUGUUGAAAAAAGAGAAUUUUUUAAAACAAAACAAUAUGUUUCGAAUGUUAAGAGUAGGUUUUUUGUCAUAUGUUAUUUUUUAUAGAAAACCCUUAUAAUCAAGAGAGUACAAGUACACCUCAAUUAAGAAAAAUCUGUGUUUUAUUUUAAAUGGUGCCAACUUCCCUCAAGAAAUCUGGAAGAUAAAGCAGACAAAGCGCUGAUUUACAGCAACAGACGCUGUAUAAUAGUUUUUGUUGGAAUCAUAAGACUAUAUUUCUAAACAAUUUGUGUGGAUUGUGGACAUAAAGGU